CCUGUGAGUAAUUAACACUUCAUGACUGAGAGCUGUCCUUCAUGACAACAGAACCCACAUCAACAAUGACUUUUCUCACCAUCUUCAUCUGGACACUUGCCCUCUACUUCAAGGACUCUAGAGGACAGAUCAUUGUGACUCAGACUCCUGCAGUGAAAGCUGUUCUCCCAGGACACUCAAUUUCUCUAAACUGUAAAGCCAGCAGUAAUGUGUAUGGUGAUUGUCACAAUGGUCAGUCAUGGGGCCAUCAGUGUCUAUCCUGGUACCAACAGAAACCAGGAGAAAACCCCAAACUCAUGAUGCUCCCAGGGAACACACUUCAGUCUGGGACUCCAUCUAGAUUCAGUGGCAGUGGAUCUGGGAGUGACUUCACUCUGACCAUCAGUAGAGUCCAGACUGAAGAUGCAGGAGAUUACUACUGUCAGAGUUACCACAGCAGUGGUAAAGUGUUCACACAGUGAUACAGAGACGUACAAAAACCUCCCUCAGUCAGACUGCAUAGUGGCUGUACUGAUAUAGCUGUGACCUACAGCAGGUGCUGAGGGGAGGAGAUGAUUCAGUACAAUGACACAGUGUGUAGUAGAGCUGAACAACAAUAGAGUCAAACUAGAGCUAUGUCUAGAAGACCUUAGAUCAUAACUGAUCACUAAAAGUUUCUACUGAACAUUAACUACAUGUUGUCUCUGUUGA